rnacentral:rRNA from 1 species
AUUGAACGCUGGCGGCAUGCCUUACACAUGCAAGUCGAACGGCAGCACGGGUGCUUGCACCUGGUGGCGAGUGGCGAACGGGUGAGUAAUACAUCGGAACGUACCUUAUCGUGGGGGAUAACGCAGCGAAAGUUGCGCUAAUACCGCAUACGCCCUGAGGGGGAAAGCGGGGGACCGUAAGGCCUCGCGCGAUUAGAGCGGCCGAUGUCUGAUUAGCUUGUUGGGGAGGUAAAAGCUCACCAAGGCGAUGAUCAGUAGCUGGUCUGAGAGGACGAUCAGCCACACUGGGACUGAGACACGGCCCAGACUCCUACGGGAGGCAGCAGUGGGGAAUUUUGGACAAUGGGGGCAACCCUGAUCCAGCAAUGCCGCGUGAGUGAAGAAGGCCUUCGGGUUGUAAAGCUCUUUUGUCAGGGCAGAAACAGCAGCUCUAACACAGUCUGCGAAUGACGGUACCUGAAGAAUAAGCACCGGCUAACUACGUGCCAGCAGCCGCCGUAA